AUGUGGGGACACGCCAUGGUAGAGGCGCGUGGUCGGCAAGAGGAGUCAGGGAGGCAUGAAGGUGGACAUGUGGAUGUUAUCGUGGCAUUGACACAUUUCGCUCCAUGGAUGCUACAUACCAGGGUGGUGGUGCAGGAUUCAUUGGAAGCCACACAGGGCACCCGAGAAGGAGAGGAGAAUGCGCUGAAGAGAGGAAAUGAUAAGUUUCAUUGUUUUGUUUUAAGAGCAAGGGAGUUGAUAUGUAGUCCCCUGGCUUAUUUGUAUUCUACUAUGUGUAUGGCCAAAGAAAUCAUGAUUUUAUACACACAUAUAUUUUUAAACAAACCUAUGUAUUUUUUGCUCAAACAGUCACCCGGAAGUGCACAUAUUUUCAAUGCGUAA
rnacentral:rRNA from 1 species